GUGUUGUAUGAAAGGAGAGAAGGUUAGCACUCCCCUUGACAAGGAUGGAAGAGGCCUUCCGGCCUAACAACACACAUAUGGUUAAGAAAGCAUAUUUAAUUAUCUUCUAAUGGAUUAUGUCAAAAUUUCUU
ensembl:snRNA